rnacentral:lncRNA from 1 species
GCACGAAGCAUCUGUCCGCAGGUCUCCCCAGAGAGGAUCUGAAAUCAACAUUCCAGGCACCUGUAAAUUUGGCACUAAUGGAGCAAUGGGUGCAGGUACUGUACAUGGCAGCUCAUAUUUCACAUGCUUCUUAUUCAGUAGAAGUGCUGCAGGAGAUCGAUCCUCGUGUGGCUGUCUGCUCAACUCCAGGCCAGCGAAACAGGAAACAAAGAAAUCCGUCGAAUCCGGCAGAAACACUUUUUUUGCCAGCAGGCUGCGUAACGUUUAACAAACUGCACCUCCAAAGCUCCUGCAGCCCUCCUGCUAACAAACUCCUGAAACACCGUGCUCCGCUAAACCGAUCCGGUAAAUGCCAAGGGUAAAUCCAUCAGUAAACAAACUCUUUGU